rnacentral:lncRNA from 1 species
GGGGGGGGGGGGGGGGUCAGCUACAGUUGAGUCAAUCUGGCGGAGGAUCAAUGUUGUUUUGUUGUGGAGGAGAACUACUACUUAUUUAUUUGCUGUUUUAAGGGGUUUAAGGAUCGAUGUGUAUUAUAUGCUAUAUAUAUACUUACUUCAUGCAUGAUUUUUAUAUUUUUUUUGUUGACAUAAUAUUUUUGACAUAAACUUCGUGCAUAAUGUUGUUGUUAUGCUUGCCAAUGUUAUAUAAUUAAGCUAAUAUAGAGUUAUUUAAAAUCUAAAUAUAUAUGUUUCUAGUUUACUUAAUUUUAGGCUAAAUUUCCUUUGGUACUUUAGCUUACCUCUCAAUUAUUUUAUUCAAUUAAGAAUACGUCGUUCUCACCCCAUAUUUUACCACUGAGCUGAAUAGGCCUUAAAAAUAGGAAUAAUUAUUGAAAUUAGUUACAAAACUUUACUAAAAUGAGUUGGAAACUUUAAUAAAAUGACGAGUUAAAACUCCCCCAAGGGGGUCCUUUUCACCUUUCUCUAAUAUAUACCAUUUACAAACUUAUUUCCGAAAAAUUUUGCAAUCAAUUAAUUAGUUCAACACUUAUGUUAAGAUGUGAACAUGGCUAUUUGAGAUAGUAACAUGAUGCAGGGUGGAAAUUAAUUAACUCAACAUUAAUUGCUUCUAGUCCCACCUCAGAAUAUUUGAAUAAAAAAUGCAAUAAUAAUUUGCUAGUUAAUGUAUAGGAAAAUAUAAUUUUUGCACUCUAUAUUGAUGAGUGAGGAUGAAGAACGCCGACGCCACCACAGCAUCGCGUCGUCAGCAAGGUACAUGAACGCGACCUAGACUUUUUCCUCCUCCUCGUCCAGCCACAACGCUUUGAUGUAGCGCUCCAUGUGACACAGAAAAUUGUCGAUCUUCUUCUCAUCGCGGGUACCUCUGAAAUUUUGAGGAACACUUUCUUCAAAUAUUGUGCAUACGUUCCUCCAAUUUAUGUGUGAAACUCUUAACUAAGAAAGGAUAUGUGUCAAAAUAUGAGAGUUAAUUAUAUAAUAGAGNAAAAUUACUUUCUUCUUCGUCAAUCUCUUUCCGCUCCUUUUUCUUUGAUCUUCUCCUCUUUCUCACUCACCUUCGACUUAAUUUGAGGAUUCUAUCAUCUCCAUCCUGAGAUCCUCAGAGCGAGAUCAUCAUCUAAUCCCAUGAUAGAUCAGGGUAUUACAAUAAAAUCACGUAGGGCGCAUCCAACAAAUUAUACUCUUACAUUAUGCAUUUAUAGAAGAGAUUCUGUCUGUUUGUACAAAGGAGAUUCUAUUCAUAUAGUGGGUUUGUGCAUGCGGGGUAUAUUUUUUACUUUGGAAAGAAAAUUGCUGUGUCUGUACUAAAUUCUGUUUUUAAUAUAGAAAGGUUAAACAAAAAAAGUCUCAUAGCAUGACAACUGCGAUUUUAUGUUUUAACAGAUUUCUUAAUUUUUGUUCUCCAUUUUUACAAUAUUGUUUAUUAGAGAUGGAUUUUUUUUUUUGAGAAAUAGGUAGCAUGCUACCCGCUUCGUUUAUUUCAUUUAGAAAUAAACUUAGCUGGAAAUGUGAAUCAAUUAGGAUUCGAACUUGGGUCUCGGGUACCAACCACCAAGCCCUUUGCCGCUUGCUCUAGGUACGGUCGGUGGGCUACUAUAGUAUUAAUAGCACGUAGUCAUUGAUUCUAUUAGGUUUUCGUUCCUUGGAUGAUCAUAUGAAGGGAUAUGCGAUUAGAAUGAUAUUAGUUUUCUAAGAUUGAGUGAGUAGUUACUUGAAUAAUAUAAUCUAACGGAUAAAAAUAGUUAAAGGGUAGAUUUAACGACGGAAAACUUGAUAGUAUCAAGUCAUUGGUGCAAUUAAUAGCAUAGUACGUAGCCAGACUAUAAUUAGCAGCAAACGGGCUCUGUUGCCACCGAUUUGUUUUCGGUGAUGGAGCCUUCAAAUCGACGAUCAGCAUCAUUGAACAUGAUCUAUGCCACUUGAAGUAUCUAGAAACCAAAUUUCAAAUCUUUUCAAUAUAUAUCAUUAGCCUAAUGAUCAAAGAAUUUCAAAUUUUGUAAUUUUAAUGAUCGAUAUGAAACAUUUUCUAGUUUAACGGUGCCGUAAAGAUAUCAACAUCAAUUAAAUUUUAGUUAGAAAAUUCUUUAAACUAUUUAGAACAAGUUUUAUACUCUCAAUCUUGGUUACAAUACUCCUAUCAUCCUUUUUUAAAUUAAGGAUAUUCAUUUUCAACUGUUCACUUUUAUGUCCACUUGAUGGACAAAAGAACAAUAUUAAAAAAUAAUAAUAAUAAAUUUUGGUCUCUAAAUAUUUCAAGUGGUAUAAAUCAUAUUCAAUGAUAUCGAUCGUCGAUUCGAAGACUCCAUCAUCGAAAACAAAUAGAAAACAAUGAAACUCGUUUGCUACUAAUUAAUGUAUCCAAAUUCAUUUAUUCACGCUCAACUCUAUAUUACACACGCGAUGACAACGUCCAUGCACGUACGUGUGCACUUAUGUAUCCAAAUUCAUUUAUUCAUGAGCUUGUGCACAUGCUAUUGCUGUGAGAUAUAGCGACUCAUCCACGUGCGAACAAUGACAGGUGGAAUUUAUAGCUUUGUCGGAAAAUAUAAUUAGCAUCAUAUUUCAUAAUGAUUUUGUUGUUGAUACAUAAAUUGUUGGUGUUUUCACAAAAACUUUUAAAAAUUUCGUGAAUUUUGGUAAUCAAUAUUCCAGAUUGGUAUGUUUCAUUAAUUUCUUGAGACAUAAUUAUUAUGCCUAAAUAACUACGUCCCGAUUUAGGAACUAGAUUUCCCUUUUUUUGUAUAUUUACAUUUGAAUUACUGAUAUAAAAGUUGAAAUAAGUACUAAAAUGUAAGCAACUUUUUUUUCCUUUUUUUUUUAUGAGCAUUGAGAGAUUGUUCUCUACGUGAAUUUACUGCAUGAUUACCUAUUGAAAACGACUUAGAUAUAUCUCAAAUUGAAAUAAAACAUUUAAUUAGGUCCGCUUGGAUGCACAGUAAUAAAAUUUUAUAGUGUUUGUAUUCGGUACUUUUGAUCUAUAGAUAAAAUAGAAAAUUUUGUAAUGGUAAAAAAUGUCACGGCUUCAAUUUAAACCAUUUGGAUCUUCACUGUAAAGUUUCACAAAAUUUUAAUAAUUGAAAUUUUGAAAUUUAAAAUCUGGUCGAGGGUUUAAAAUCUUAAACUAGUUUAAAGUUGGUUUUCAUUGCAUUUUGGACAAUUCAAAUUUGGGGUAGCGAUAGCAUCACUUUAAUUUGUACUUAGGCACCAUUAAGUAUUGUGGAGAGAGUGUGUUAUGUGCAUGACGAUUAAAACCCUCCACAUGCAUUAUAGUGUUAGCUAACACAUCAAUAGCAUAUAGGCUCUAUUUGGAUGUCGAAACAUAUAUAGUUAUCUAAUAUUUAAUUAUUUAAGCACUAUGAGGAUUUUUCCUGUGACAUUGUAAGCUCGUAAUUUGAUUUUAGCACCUUGGAAGGACUUAAUAUGUAAGAUUUGAUAGAAUAUAAACUUUACCUAAGAGUUUAAUUAUUUACCAAAUUCGAAAGAAACUACCUGAAGGCCAAAAAGGGUAUCCUCUCCUAGUUUCACAUACAAAAUACUAGGAGCAUUUUAAAUAAAUAAAUAAAAUAGAUAUAUCGAAAGCUGAAUAAGACAUUCAUGCAUUCAAACAUAAUCACAAGGGUGGGCAAUAUUGUUUCAGUUCAUGUACGUAAUAGUACUCAUUCAGUAGCCCUACAUGUUUGGACAUCAAAAAUUCCAAUGAUAACUCAUCUAAUAUAAGAAUUAUUUUAUGUGAUUGGAAGUAAGAAAUUUAUUUUUUGCGCCCUUUAAAAAUAAUGAAGUAAUAUAAUUUAUCUAUAAUAUAAUUUAUUUUAUUCUAAAAAAAUUUAAAGGCCAAAUAUGAUAUUCAUUCUAAACAUUUGUUCAAAUGCCUUACGCACAUAACAAAUAUUGUUUGCUUUUUAAGUAAAUCGAAGGAAUGUACUGAAAGGAAAAUAAGGUUACUCUCAAGGGUUUUGAUCAAUGAAAAUUCACCUUUUUCUCCUUUUCUCUUCUACGAAAAGGCCACGCGAAUCACAGAGUUUUUUUUUUUAAACUAAAUCAAAGUAAGAAUCAUGAGAUCUAGAGAUGCUGAUUCUGAAUCAGGGUGGUCGAUCUAUAACCAGUCCCAAGAUUUGUGAACAAAACCGUAAACUCUUUCUCCAGAAUGGUAGUUAAGCUGAGAGUUUUAGUUAUUAAGUCGAUAAAUAUAGAUCAUCUAAGCAGGAUCAUAAAAGAGAAUAUUAAAUAAAAAUUUAAGCGAUCAGACAAUAAUAUUUCAACACUUAUAUUCUAAUAAAAAUUUGAAUAAUAUCAAAGUCUGAUAAAAUUCAAACUCAGAAACUCAUGUUCGAAUUAAGUAAUAUAAAAUAAUUUUCUUAUUUUUAAGAAGAAUCUAAAUUCUUUAGAAAAUAAUAGUUUUAGAAAUUAUUAUUAUUAUUAUUACUAUACAUUAAACGCAGAUAUUAUUAAUAGGUUCUCAGGUGGCGCGCACAUGGACGCACCCACCCACCAAUGCGACAUGCCAGAGCAGCUUCACAUGGCAGUACCCCCGGAAUCCACCCCCCACAUUAUUAGACCUCCUUUGUGGGUCCCACCAUAAAAAUACAACUCCCUUUAUUUUUUAUUUAUUCUUUUGUUAUUUUUAUUUAAUACUAGUUUAAUUGCUGGUGCUUUAGUUCUGCUCUAUUGCUGGUGUUGUUGGUGUUGAGAAUUCACAUCUGAAUAAUUCAAAAUAUAUUUCAACAAUCCGUUCGAUUUAUUUAUGAUCUUAAAUUGGACGGAUUAAGUUAGAUACGCGGUAUCAAUUAUUGGGCUGUGUAGGUUUGGAUUGAGCUGCAACGUAGAAGAAUAUUAUUGAUAUACGUACGUCAAUUACGUUGUGAAAUUUUGCCUGGGAACUGUGUGUAGGAUGAAAUUUUUGUUAUUUUGAGUAAUCUUUCGUGUUUGAAAAAACCAAAUGCAUUUAUUUGGUUAAAAAAAAAAAAAAAAAUUUGUGCGGUGCACGGUUGUGUACGGAUGAACCGGGUCCAGCCGAUGAGCUCUCGUCGAGAAAACGUCGCCAUCAGAUCUGUUCCGAGGUGGUGGACGCAGGCCCAUCUCGGCCGUUCGAUUCGGUGGACCCGCAUCGCCCGGCUCCAUCCGUCCGUACGUUACUGCCAGCCGUACCGUCGCGGGCGCGCGGCGGGAAACUCUGUGGGCCCCGCGCCGCGGGGCCCAUCGCCUCCGCCGCACGAAUUUCGAAGCGCCGAUUCCGCGCGCUGGUCCGCCCGGCGAUUAAUCGCCGCCGCUCAUUCCCAAAAAGUAAAUAAAAAUAAAAUAAAAAAGUAAAAAUUUUCUGAAAUAAAUAAAUAAUAAAAAUAUGUACCAGGUAGGACCCACAUGUCCACUCCGACCGCCACAAUCAUUCGUGCGCUGAAAUUAUUUCUCUGCACCUGGUGUAUCCAGAAAUCUCAUGCACCGAAAAAUAUACUCUAUUGAUGUUCUAAUGAAUCAAAAAUUAUAAAGUUUAGAAAUCUAAUUAUGUAUAAAUUUAACGGCCCAUACAAAUUAAUCGCAUCGAAAGAUACUACCAUAUGUGAAUUUACUAGCUAGGUGAGUUUAUAUUGAUUGAAUCUAAGUCAAAUCAGUCUGUAAAUAACAACCAAAUUUAGUAAAUUUUAAGUGUCGCUUAUAUAUUAGAUCUUUUCAAAAGUAGUUGGUUCUUUAAAAUAUAUUUCAAAAAAUAUUUUUUAGUUUAUAUGAAAAAAUCUCUUUUUUACUUUUAAGAUUUUUCAUUCAUACAACGAAAAUUUUUAAAAAUAUAUAUAGUUUUUCACAAAAAUAUUAAAUUUUUUAAAAUAUAAUUUUUCAUUAGUUUUUGAGCAACCAGACACGCCCUUAUUAUCAUUAUUAAAAAAAGAAAAUCAUGCUCCAAACUUAUGAAUUUUAUAAUAUAUUUCAUAAAUCAAUCUUUGAUUUGGAUGGCUCUGUGACUUGUAUGAUGCACCAGGUGCAAGCAAUUUUCUCUCCGGGGGCAAAUUCACGGGAGUACGGUAACCUCUCUGACACGUGUCACUCUCUGGCGGGGUCGGACCAUUCGACCAAGCGAAUAAUUUGCGGCGCCCCGUGUAGCCCACCCCACCCCCCCAAGCAAAAGGAAACAGCUCUAUACACUACUACUCAAUUCCCUGUUUUUUAUUUUUUUUUAUUUUUUUAAAUCUCUCUCUCUCUCUCUCUCUCUUUCUUUAUCUACUCAUCCACUCACACUCAACCUCAUAACAAUAGAAACAUACAACGAACAAGUUAGAGAGAGAGAGAGAGAGAGAGAGAGAGAGAGAGAGAAAGAGAGAGAGAAUGGGGAGUGGUUUGGGUUUGGAGGAAACUGAGCUGAGGCUCGGAUUGCCGGGGGGCGGCGGUGGCGGAGGCGGAGGCAGAGGCAGCGGGGACGGAGAGCCGACGGGGAGGAAUUUCGGGAAGAGAGGGUUUGCACAGACGAUCGAUCUGAAACUGCAGCUCCAGACCGCGUCUGUCGCGACAGACGCAAGAGAGACAGCAGCGGCAUCUGAGGGGACCGCCGCCGCAGCAGCAGCAGCAGCAGCAGCAGAGAAACUCAAGAGAUCUCCCUGCAGCCACAAGAACGUGGCUGCUGCAUGCAACAGCGCGGAUCCCGAGAAGCCACCCGCUCCCAAGUACGUUCCCAUAUGCAUCAUCAUUUCCUUGGUUUUUGCUUUUGAGUGGUGCAUGUUGUAAUUAUUACUAUAAAAUGUUAAAGUGAGAACUAAGGGAAUCUAUCUAAAUUAUGAAUUAUUUUGUUCAAAUUUUUUAAAUUUUUUUUUUUAUUUGAUUCAAUUGACAGCAUUUUAAUUACAAAAAUUAAAAUAAUUAUUUAUUUUAAUAAAUUUAUAGUUGUGGGUUUGUAUGAAAUAUAUAUUAAUUAAAUUUGUAAAGAUAAGUAAUGUAUUUAAAUUUAAAAUCAAAAUCAAACCGAUUAAAAAGUUGGAUACUAAAAUUAAAAUUUUAAAAAAUUGAGUACUCAAAUUAAAAUGUUCUAUAGUUCAGAAAAGUUUUAUAGAUUUUUAACUAAAGGUUAUAAUAGAAAAAGAAUAAAUUAUCCUUUAUUUCGUUUUAGUGCAUAUAUGGUUGUAGUUUCUCGUGUGCUUGUAUGCACUUUUCUGUUUUUAUUUUUAAUUUUUUUUGUGGGGGUGGGGGUGGUUUAGUUUCUGUUUUUUUCUCUUAAUUACUAGAUAGAUAUAAUAUUUUAUCAAAUAUAUUUUUUGUUAGCAUUAACAAAAGAAGAAUGAGAAUCUAAUAUAUACACAUUAUCGUUUAUGUGUAACUUAUUGAUAUUUUAUUUCUCAAAAAAAAAACUUAUUGAUAUUUUAAGAGCAUGUGAUCGAUAUACUAAUCUCCAAAAGAGAACGCCAAGAACACCUCCUGUAUAGCUAGAUCUCUCUCUCUCUCUCUCUCUCUCUCUCUCUCUCUCUCUCUCUCUCUCUUAAUGAUUUUUUUUUCUUAAUUUAUUUUUUUAACUUUUUUUUGCCUUCUUAAUUAAGUGAAGUUAUCAAGAAAUUAAUCAACAUUUAUUAGUGGUCAAUAUUUGGUUGUCGUUAGAUGGAACUGCAUAAGAAGCUAGCAACAGAUGAACAAGAUUUAUUAUGGGUUAUUACUCAAAAGGGAAAAAAAAAGGCCAUUAUUUGAUGGUUAAUUAACAAAUAAUUUGUGGGCAAAUCUUUUGUUAAUUUUGUUCUAUGCUAAUGAAAAAUAAAAAAUUCAUGUUCAUGAGACACUUGUAUAUAACUAAAUAUCCAUCCUUAGAUUUAUGAAAGAUUUUUUCCUUUUUCCCCCAAGAGAUGGCCAUAUAAUUAAUUAAUUUUGUAUUGAUUCUGAGGGUGGCAACAAGCCAAACAGAUGAAGCCACAAGAACACUAUCCUUUUCAAAGGAAAAGCUUAAACAAACUUACCAAAACAAAAUUCUUAAUUUUCUUAGCUGUAUUAUUUAAUAAUAGUGCACGAAAUAUGUGUAUAUAUAUAACUCAACUUUACUUAGUCUUUGAUUUGUAAAUUGUAACUAGCUAUCACAAUAUAUAUAUACAACAAAAGGAAAACAAAAAAAGAAAAACUAGAAAAAACCAUGUACCACAUGUAUGUAUAUAUAGAUUUAUAUAAAGAAGGUGAUUGUUUCAAAUAUAAACAAGCUUUGUUUCUUAUCAUUUUCUUUUUCUAUGUAUCAUCGGAUGUACUGUAAAAUGAUCUAAUUAACUGUGUCAUUAAUUAUUGGUUAGUUUGCGAUGCAUUUGUAAUUAUAAAGUGAAAACAAUGAGUUGUACUGGAUUUAUAAUGCUGAUCGAUAAUAUUAUUGUUUUCUUUUCUUUUUUUUUCAUUUGGAAAACUAGGGCACAGGUGGUGGGGUGGCCACCAGUUAGGUCGUUCAGGAAGAACAUCAUGGCCGUACAAUCCGAGAAGGGGAGCAAGGAAGAUCAUCAUCAUGGUCAAGGGGAGAACAAGUCCGGCGGCGGCACAACCGCGACAACCGCCAUCGCCGCCUUCGUGAAGGUGAGCAUGGACGGCGCGCCGUAUCUCCGCAAAGUCGACCUCAAGAUGUACAAGAGCUAUAGGGAGCUCUCCAUUGCCCUGGAGAAGAUGUUCAGUUCCUUCACCACUGGUAAACUACCGGGCUUGUACCGUUGGCUAUUUAUUAUUGGCUAAAAUACGUCUAAUUUUUUUUAUUCUGUAACAGUAGAAUCAGAAAAUUAUAUAAUAAUUAAGUUGAGUUGAUAGACAUGACGCUCGGAUAGAUUCAGUCAAGUCGAAAAUCACGUGCGUUGUGGCUGAGCCCUUAAGUGCAAUGCAUGUAUCCUUGCUAUAGCUAGCUAGUACCACGGCAAUAGCAACAACAAUAACAACAAAUAAUAAUGACAAAAAUAAAAAUAAGAAAAAAAAAAAAGGGGGUACAUGCAUUACGUACAAAUUAAUUAAUAUCUGUAUAUAUAUAUAGGGGUUUAGAGCAAUAAGAGCGGUUCGAUCCGCGUCGGCCGACACAAGCCAUGCAGUGGCCAUGUGAUUGCCAGAGUACUGUUGCACCCCACAUUGUGGCAAUUUUCUUUUUUUCUUUUUUUCUUUUUUUUUUUUGUCUUUUUUGUUUUCUACACCUAGCUAUAGACAUGUAUGUAUGGCCAUUAAUGUAGCAUUCCUGUGCCAACCUACUAAUUAAUGCCUAGAAAUAUAUAAUCUAAUAAUUGAUAAUAAGUUGUUGUAUUAAUUAACUCUACUUAAGAGCCUAGUGUGUCAUGAAGUAAUUGAUAAGUUACUCCUACUUUGAUACCACUUGUUACGGCGAUUCUGAUCGAUCCAAAACUUCAAAGACGUGAUUUAAGCAUAUAUAUGCGGGGAUAUUAUUGUUCCUAGUCAUAUGUAUCUUAUUGCUUCUUAGUUCGAGUUUAUUGGCUUUGAUUCUAAUUAAUAAAGUUGUGGAAAUUAAACGUAGGCAAUUGUGGGUCACAAGGAAUUAUGAAUGGGAAGGACUUCACUAAUGAGAGCAAGGUAAUGGAUUUAUUGAAUGGAUCCGAGUAUGUGCCCACUUAUGAGGACAAGGAUGGUGAUUGGAUGCUUGUGGGAGAUGUUCCGUGGGAGUAUGUAUCUCUCUCUCUCUCUCUCUCUCUCUCUCUCUAUGUAUAUAUAUGUACACACAUUUUGAACAAGACAAUUAGUAAUUAAAUUAACUACAAAACUAUAAUUAGCCAUAAAAAAAAAGAAAAUAAAUUGAAAUAUUUGAAUAUUAACUCUAAACUUGUACACUACUGUCUCCAGGAUGUUUGUUGAAUCAUGCAAGCGACUUCGGAUAAUGAAAGGAUCAGAAGCCAUUGGACUUGGUUAGUAUAUAUAUAUGCAAUUAAUACAUCUCCUACACUUGCAUAAAUUUUUUAGACACAAUUCUUAAAACUUGCAAAAUUGGUAGCUAGAAGAUAUUAAUGAUAAUGUAUAUCUCAAUUUUCUUCUCAUUUGAUCAUCUUUAAUGCAUCACAAGAUAAGAACAAAUUAAUAUGCCUUCACAUUUUGCUAUAUAUAUAAUAAUCUAAUUAUAAUUCUUAAUUUGUUAGCACCAAGGGCAAUGGAAAAAUGCAAGAACAGGAGUUGAUGAAGAAGCGAAAAAAAAAAAAAAAUGGUAUUUGCACAAUCUGUAUCUUAAUUAAUAUGCAAGGCAUGUGUCUGUAUUUUUUCAGUAUAUAUAAAAGUCACUAUUAAUCUGUCACCAUAAUAGAAUUUCUCAUAUUUUACUCUUGUUUUUGGUUUUGUGUUUUUUUUUUUUUUUGGGUUUUUUGUUUUUUUUCAGUGGACAAGAAGCAAUUAAUAUUACUUGUUGUCCAGGACUUUGCUGUAUGUUUACAUUGUUUAAUUAUCAAAUGUGUGUUNCCACAUGUUAUUAUUAUCAUAGCUGGAUGUUGCAUGGCUUUAUUCCAUGAAUUAAAAUAGGAUUCUAUCAUGCAAGAUGUUGCAUACUUGGUUGUGCUUUUUGCUCAUUUUUUAAAGUAAUCAAUUGUGCAAUAAAUAAGAUGCACACCCAACUUAAAGAGGGGAACAAUCCAUGCGCAUGGUGAUGGGGGAAUCAAUUUGUAUAUUCAUAAAUCAAUAUGGGCAUCUUGUCCUUUAUAUUUGUUUAUUCUAAGCUGUGAAAUAGUAGUAUCUCCAAAUUAUUGAGGGUUUAUAUAUAUAAAAAAGAAAAGCUUAGAGAACCUAUCUGAACUAUAGAUUAUUUUAAAUCAACUAUCCAAUCAUUCAAUUUAUUCAAUUUAAAUAAAAAUACCGUUGACCAACUCAAAUCAAAUAAAUUGAAAGUUCAGCUAAUGAAAUCAAAUUUUUAAAAGAUCGAAGAGUGAAUUCAAAAUGGUUCAUAGUUCAAAUAAAUUCUAUACGUUUUCGCGGAUACAAAAAGGUGGUCUCACAAGGUGGCUAACUUUGUUAAUAGAAAAAAUACAGCUUUUCAUAAGAAUGCUAUAUAUAUAUAUAGGCCUUGAAUCUUACUAUUGCUAAUUAGUGCCUGUUUGGCUCGGCCUCUGAUCGAAAUGUAUAUAUCCAACACCGAAAAGCAGAAGCAAAUGAGGCACGUAGUAAAUAAAAAUUCAAGAGCUUUUGUUCUUCCAAAAGCAUACCUCAGUUGUGAAGUUUAUUGCAAUGCUUCUUGGAAGAAACAUCACUCCAAAAGCACUCUUUUGCAAUAAGGCUCCUGCGAAAGAAAAUUGGAGUUCCUUCAUUUUCUCAGAGUAUAUAUCUUCUUUGUGCUGUGGUUGUGGAAAGCAGGUUCAUAAGCCCUAGCACUCCCCCUAAGAACUUCAACAUAUAUAUAGCGAGAAGUUCGAAACUCGAGCGCCAAAUUUACGCACAUAUGAAGGCUCGAACUCCGACCUUUAUCCCUAGAUUACUAGUGAUUCCGUAAAAUUAAGAAGGUUGAAGGACAUAAAUAGCUCAUAGAUGAUGUACAAAGUAGUAGUGAUCUUGUACCUCUUUGGAUAUGAAAGGUCGGAUGGGAAAUUGCCGAAUCCUCCAUCUUGUACGCUUUACGAAUAAAUUUCAUUUGCACGUGUGCCAGAUUCGUCACAGAUAGCCUUCGCCAAACACAAAGUGUUUGUGAGCAAAGCAUUUUCCUUGUUAACUUCUAUUACACUCAGCCAAAGCUCUCAACUGAUUUAUCUGCCGUUCCGCUCAACUUAGCUGUGAGUUUUCAUUAUUCACUUGAACACAGCUCGGAAUAUGAUAGAUUUACUUGAUCAGUCUAGGGGAAGUUUUUCUGACGGGGGUUUUACGAGGUUUUAACUUCAGUGUUCACUGGUAACUCAGACGAAAACAGUGUCGUGAUGCAUCCAAACAAUCAUCAUUUAUUGAUGCAUCCUUGAUAGACAAUAUAUAUACAUAAUAAAAGUACACAUGUUUUUCGCUCAAAUUGGAAACAAAUAAACAGAUAGCAAAAAAUAUUCGAUAAGAGCUCUUAUUGGAGAGAAAUAUAUUCCAAUCACAACAACAUGGUUUUCAGUACAGAUUAGGGAAAAAAACAAAAAACAGCUUUCGUCCAGAAAGAUCACAUCAACUCUGGCUCAGAAGUCUACUGACCUGAUUACGAGAUCUGCAUGUUUCUUUGACUUCAUGAUGAGCUCCGCAUUUGGACGGUCGUUAUACUCGAUCUGAUUUCCGUAAAACAACCAACAAGAGAAUUUAUUGUUUAAGAAGUAUAUUAAAAAUGCUCUUCAAAAACAAAGUAUAUUAGAGAUAUAGGAAGAAAAUGUGUUCAGAAAUGUUUCUAUCUUACCCGCCAUUUUGCAACGUCGGGUUCCUUCCCUACCAAAGGCAAAACAGAGAAUAAGACGCGAAUGCAAUACACGCGAAACAAGAAACAAGAGUUGCUCUUUGUAUAGCACUAACCUGUGGAGAUAUGCCUGUUGAGAACCCUUUGCAUCGCGACAUCAAUGUCAACAUCUAUGAACCUACGCAUAAGGAGUUCACAACAAUUGCAUUGACUGAUCACAACCCACAGGUGAUAAAAAAAAUUCACACACAAAAUACCAUUUAGCAACACGAAAAAACAUAAAUAAAUAACAAGACUGAUGAAAAUGCAUAUCAGCAAAAUUCCAUAACACCAAGUGUAACACUGGUCAUUCUUAAGAUUCUUUGGAGUCUCCAACUUAUUUGUUCAACAAGUUGUAGGUAAUACAAUUCUCUUCUAUUGAUAAACAUAAAUACACUACUAUCAUAUAAAAGCCAUGAAACAUGAAUAUGACAUAAAUUAUUGUAAUAAUAAAGGAAAACAUCAUUUUGUUUGGUGCAUGCCAGAACUGGACUUACCAUUUCUCAUCAAAUAAAGCUGACAAAUCUUUCCAAGUGUCUUCUUCCAACAACAAGUAGUUUCCUUCUACAAUCACUACUUUGUGCCUGCCAAAAAUAAGACGAUAACAAGGUAAAGGAUUCAUAUCCACGGACCAGCAUGAAGUCAUAUCGGUAUGCUCAGAGUCGACCCUUUCAGGUGAGGAGUAGUCCUUGCAUGGGUCAUAGAAAUUUAUGCCGGAAGGUUUUGCAAUAUAUAUCUUUUUCCCAUUUUGUGAAAGCAUAUCAUCUCUCAUCUCCUAAGGAAGUGUAGGAGUAGAUUAUCCAGGUAAAUUAUAUAUAAUUCCUCAAAGAACAUAAACUUUCCACCGGAAAAUUUGUAUAAACUUUCCAUUGGAAAAUUUGUAACCUAUUGCCCAUUGGUACUCAUUUCAUAUUGAUGGUCAUUUUAGCCGAAAUAAUUAAUUCGAAAAAAAAAAGGAAUAAACCAUUUUAGUGAAAUAGAACAGGAGGUGCGCUCUUUCUUUCACAGUUAUCAACAAUCUAUGAUGUAUGGCAAGCAUUGUAAGUGGGAGAAUUAGAAUAAAAGGAGAAGCUCCUAACUUAAUCUACUAGAGUUAUGCAUGUUUCAACACCCAUUAAAGCCAUCAAAGUAUUGAAAUAUCACCAUGCAGUAUGAAAUAGCCCUUCAGCAUAACUAGCAAAAAUUAAAACUGAAAUACUUCUUGAAGGAUAACUGAAAACAGCAAGAUUUGAGAACAGUUAUAUACGAUAUAGCUCCAGCUUCCAACAAGUACAUUUAAAGUUUAAAUUAUACAAUUAAGACCACAAAGAUGUUUAACUUACUGGGAACUCACAAAAAUAUCAUUUUCUACAGGAUCCCCUACACCAUGAUCAAAUGAUGGAGCAUAAACUGAUCCCUACAAAGUAAUCCAAUAUUAUUAUUGGAACCUGACAAGUUCCGGAAAAAAAAAAUUGCAAAGAUCCUAAAGAUGUAAAAAGUUUCAUUUAAUAUAACAUGACAUAAACGAUGAAAUAUCAAGAUAACCAGUGAAUAAAAGACCCAAAAAACAAAGGUAUGGAACUCAAGAAAAAUGUAAAUUACCUCAUUCCUUAAAGUUUGCAGGCAUUUAAAAAGCAGCUCUGGAUUGAACGUCCAAGGCGCUGAAUAUAUCAGUUUCAGGUUAGUAAGUUUAAGCACCUCAAUUGUAAUACUAGUCCAAAAGAUGUUCCUCACCUCCUCUUCUUGCAUGAGCUUCCUUAGGAUUCUAUAAGAAAAAGUAAAAAUAUCUAUAAUAGACCACAUAAGCAGCAAGCACUUGACAGUUGAUAUAGCUAACCGUAAUAGAGAUUCUAACCUCCAUGGCGUCCAGCUGGUAACGAUAAAGAUGGAAACCAUCCAUAGGAAGCACCGUAGCGACUUCAUCAGGUAGAAGAGUUGAAUUAGCUUCAACAAGCUUUUGAGACCAGAGCAAAUUUACCCGGCGGAUCACUUCAGAUGCCAGAGUUGACUUGCCUGCACCAGGUGGACCAGCCAAGCCAACAAUAUACCUGCCCAAACUUUCACUUUCAGACCCAAUGAAAGGAUUGCCCUAAAAGCUAGUGGUUGUUUUCAGAAUGAUCAACAUUCAUCUAGUGAUUAAGUUGAAACAGUUAGGACAAAAAGAGUUUCAUAAUUUGAUCCUCUGUUUCGGAAAAUUUUACCUUGAUUGUAGCACAGUUUGGAAAACAAACAUUUAAAUAGUAAGUCAUCAAGACAACUCCAUGAAAUGACAACAAUAAAAUAUAAUAUUAAUAAAAACAAUGUACAAAGAAGCAAAAGUAGUACUUCAGAGAUUGUAUCAUUAAACUUUUCUGGUUAUGCACAUGGUUAAACAGUAGAAGGUAGUAAAUUUUACACCUGUAAGUCUAUAACACACUUAAAACAAUAAUGAUAACAUCUAUUGUGGUAAAUACAUCACAUAGAGCACUAUAAACCGCUAUGAUUUUUUUUUUUUUUUUUUUUUGGAGAGAUAGGUAGCACGCUACCCGCUUUGUUUAUUUCAUUUAGAAAUAAACUUAGCUAGAAAUGUGAAUCAACUAGGAUUCGAACUUGGGUCUCAGGUACCAACCACCAAGCCCUUUGCCACUUGCUUUAGGGACGGUCGGUAACCGCUAUGAAAUAUUAAGAUUGACAUUUAGCUAUGUUAUACGCAAAACAAUAAUUCCUAAAAAUUUUCUCUUCCAUUACGAUAUGAUUAUCCAACAGAGAAAAUGAACUAGAACAAUUUAUUAUACCCAGAACCAUUAGUUUGUAGCAGUACAGAUAGGGAAACUUACUUUAAAUUAAGAUCCUCGAACUUUAAUGCAGUAGAAAGAAGACGUUCAGCUAAAGCAUCAUACACCUCCACGAUAGUCCUUGAAUUUGAAAAGGAUUCAGUUUUUUGUUAUUCAGAAUAAAAUUUCAAAUUAUUCAGCUAAAUAAUUGUUUGUAACUCAUAAGCAUGAAUACUCGAGCAGCAAUCAACCAGAGACCCAUCAAGAAUCAUGUAACAGAACUGAUAAAGAAAUAAAAAAUUGACUUAAAAACCAACAGAAAACAUCCUAAUCUACAAAUUUACUUCAGAGGUACAUCUUGUAUAAAAAUUUCCGUUAGCAAUGGAACAACGACAGUAAUGAUAAAGCAAGAAGUCACAUCUCUUGUUGGUGCUAUUAGUCACACAACCAACUUCGCCAAUAUAGGAGAUUUUCUUCCCUAUAAAAGAAUCAAUGUAUGGUAUACCUGCCUUCUAGCACAGGGACUUCUUGUUUCUGAUAGCAUAGAACCUGGAAAAUGGAAGCAUGGAAGAAUAUCAUAACAAAUUUAUUAUUAUGGCAGAUGAAACAAAUGAAACUCACCUUCUGGUUCUUUUUCGGCAUUGAAGGGGAACAAGUUUGAUAUAGUCCUUUUCGCGAAGUCUUGAUUGAACAACUUAACCCCAAAGAAUGAUGCCAUUUUACAUUUCUCUUACGUGCCAAGAACUCUACAAAUACAGGAAACUUCUAGUAAAAUACAUUGUCGAGACAUUACUAGAAAAUUAAAAUCCGAAAUAUAGUCAUUUUUUGUGCAGUUUAGAAGCUACCACAAAAUCCGCCUUUAAUACUCUAGAAAUUGGUAUCCCUCAUCAAUGUAAAAAUAUGAAAAGAGGGUGGCCAAAAGUCCUCCUUUGCAAAUGCAAGGCCAAAUAAUUCAGACGUGAGAAACAUAAAUCAUUAAAAGGUAAAUGGAGCGCUAUAUUGAUAAGAACUAGCAACUUAUAAAAGGGACAUUUUUAGCACGUAACACUAGGGAUUUUUAAUUGUAAAUAUAGGCCUCAGAAACUUUUAUUUCUAAAAUCAGACCCACUUGUACCACGUCGAUGGAAAAGCGGUAAGCCAUUUACCAGCUUUAGAAUGUAGUAAAUCGCCACAUUCACAUAAAGUAUUAAUUCGCUAAGUCCGAACUUCGGCAAAUGUAUGCCGUUUUUAAAAGCGGUAAACGGUUCACCGCCUUAUGAGCACCCCAAACAGUUUUGGCAUUUUUUAAUAAAGCGGUGCUUAAUAAGCCACUGCUUUUAUGAGCACCCCAAACGGUUUCAAUAUUUUUGAAUAAAGCACUGAACGAUUUCCCACAUUUUAUAAACCGGUGAUUCAUUCACCAAAUGAAUCACCACUUUUUUUGUUUCCCUCCGAAGUUGCAUAAUAUAUGCCUAAUUUUGCAAAUAAUUUUUUCGAAAGACUAUUUUUAUAACUAUAAUGUUUUGUAAGCCUAUUUAUAUAAAAAAAAAAAAAAAAGUUCACUUAUAAAGUGCUAGCACCCACCUAUUAUUAGCAUUUUAUUGGGCCAUUUAGGCCCAAGAAAGCUCAAUGUUACUGUUACUUUUGGGGUGUCAAAAAGCUACACCAAUUUGGCUCAUUGUAUCUACUGAGUAUAAAUUUCCUUACACGAAACUAAUGUGAUUUUGAUACAAAUCUAUAAAAAACAAAACUUUCUUAGUAUUCAUUAACAGCUUAAGAUCAAAUGGCCAACCACAUAAUAAUCCUCAUAAAAGCGCCAAUAGAUCAUGAAAAAAAGAGGCAUCUUUUUCGUGAUAAAAAGAGGGAUCUUUUGAGAAGUGCGUGCGUUAAUUUAUGGCAACAAACAUAUCAAAAUAUAUAAUAAAAAAAAAAAAGAAAAAUCAUCGACCUAAGGGAAGUAUAUAUGUGUUCUCCCAAACCCUUGCGAAAAAAACAUCAAAGAGAAAGAGGAGAGGCGAGAAAUCAGGGUUUGAUCAGGGAUGAGAUACCUAACGAAGAAGAACAGGAGAGAUUGAAUCGCCCUCUUCGAUUGAGGAGCGAGAGCUCCAUCUUCGCGUGGGGGGCAAAGGAGAGCUCCAUCGUUGCGUGCGUGCGAUGCCACUCCACUCCACUCUGUUCUCAAGCGACAUUAACAUAACAUGGGUGAAAUGUGUGAAAAAGUCCCUGUAUUACCCCUAUUUUGCGAAAUGGUCCCUACAGUAUUAGGGGUUUUUUUGCAAAUAGCCCCCUGAUAAAUUUUUUUUCAAAAUUAGCCCUGUCAAAAAUUUAUUUGCAAAAAUGGCCAUGUUCCUGCCACGCAAGCGCCACAUCAGCGCCACGCGGGCGGGGCUAGAGCCAGGUGUUUAAGUUGAACACGGUAAACCGUUCAUCGUGUUUAGACACGGUGAACAGUUCACUGUGUCCAAUGCAAAUACCCCACACUUAGUCAUUUUUGGCUAAUGGUUGGGUAUUUGUAUUGGACACGGUGAAUAGUUCACCGUGUCCAAUAUAUUAUUCACACCCUGACUCGGGUGUGUAUAAUUCAUUGAACACGAUGAACCAUUCAUCGUGUUUGAACACGGUGAACGGUUCACCAUGUUCAACUUAAAUACCUGGCCCCAGUCCCGCCCGCGUGGCGCUGACGUGGCGCUUGCGUGGCAGGGGCAGGGCCAUUUUUGUAAAUAAAUUUUUGACAUGACUAAUUUGAAAAAAAAAAUUGUCAGAGGGCUAUUUGCAAAAAAAGCCCUUAAUAACUUCAAAAACUUACCCCCUGAAAUUUCACUGCUUCACACUUUGCCCCCUAUCAUUAAAAAAAAUUCUAGAUUUUUUUUUUUCCAAUAGUUAGGGAAUGAAUUGCAAUACGUGUGAGCUUAAGCAAAUAUACACCGAUACCAAAUUGCAAUACUGGGAUAGAACAGGAAGUGUCCAUACAUUUUACCCCAACCCAUUUUCUUCUUUUCUUUUGUCCUAAUCCAUUUUAUAUUGCCAAUCCUAUUAUUGCUUUUUUAUGAGAUUUUAUCGAUUCAUUACCCAAAAACUGUUAGAUUGGAAAAGAUACAACACAAGUUUAUUUGAUCUCACCAUUAUUUCAUUUGAAUCAUUAUCCUGUGAAACUAACUAAAUCACUAUGGAAUGCAAAUUCUAUCAAAUCGUAUUGAUUUUUCCCUACAUAUACAUCUCUCAUCAUUUCUCUCUCUCUGAGAUUCUUUUCUCUGUUCAUAUUAUUAGGCCUCAUCAGUUUGCUCCAUUGGUCCAGUUUCCACUUUUCAAUUGCUUCAACAAGGAUUUUUAAGGUAAAACUAUAUUAAAAGAAAUGCUUUAUUCAUCUCUUUUCAAACAAUAAAAUCAAAUUAAUUCAAUUUCACUUUACUAUUGUUCCAAACAAAAAGUAGUUUUUUCUCAUUGAAUCCAUUGAUUUCUUCUAACCUAAAAGGUCCAACCCAAUUAUUUUCAGAUUUAGUCCUACAUAGGAUUUUACCACACAUAACAUGCAUUCACAAUGUCAGCAGUUCUGCAGAUGGAUUGGGUUCAGCAAAGUAUCAACAGCUUCAUUGUAACUGCCCUAAGAGCCCGAGUUUUGUUUCAGCAAUCAAUACAAGGUACUGCAGUAUUUCCUUUUAAUCUUUAUGAUAAAAAUUAUACAUAAUUACGUUUUGUAAUGCUUUGCUGCACUGUUCUCAGAAGUACUAUGAUAACAAGAGAUGUAUUUAAGUUUUGUUCCUCUAGUGGAUGUGUAACACAAUAAGAACAAUAUACAAAUAUGAUGAGAUCACUGCUACAUUCUCAGAGAUAAAUAAUUGAUUAAAUGAAGAAGUUCAAUGAAAUCUAAUUUUAUUCUUAAAGAAAAUACUAGUCAAUCGGGCUGCAAUUUAUUCUUCUACAGAGUUCUCAAUCCAAAUAGCCUUCAGUUUUAAAGACAGCCUAAUAGCAGCCCACAUGUAUUUGCUGAUACAACAGACAAUCAGAAUUAGUCUCAGAUAAGGGCAUAGGGGUAAGUUAAACACAUCACCAACACGCGAAAGAUCGUGGUGGAUACAAUAAGAUCGAUCGGGAUGUAUACAAUUGUGUUUCAUAUCUAGCCGUUAUCCAUCAAGGUGCACAACGCAUUGGCUUCUCUUUGCCCUCUUGCACUUCUCAUCAUCAGCUUGCUGUAACAAAAGGAAAAGAAUAAUAAGACGGGAAAAAGGGGGCUAAAAUAGCCCCAAAAAAAAUUUAAAAAAAAUGAUUCAGGCCCAUGCUCGAUUUGAUGCAAAAUACCUGGCUAGCUUAUUUGCCAUUUCAGUUUGAACCAUAAAGCUUAAUUUAAUAAAGAAAACUCACUAAUUAUCUAAUAUUACUGAAUCUGAUUUGAUGCAAACAACUAAAUUCCGCCAGCAAAGUUUAAGUUGGUCUAAAAGGCCUAACCAAAGGACUGGUUGUCUUAGUAAUAUUAAAUUACUAGUGACUUCAUAUAUCUACAAAAUUUUCUGCCGUCCAUGAAUAGAUGUGCACAUAAGCUAACAAAUAAAAGAGAUUUUUGGACGGCAAAGACCACUAAAGCAUUCCAAGGAAUUAAAAAGCUUCAGAACUAAUCUAUUAAAGGGAUCAGAGCAUAGGAACCAAGCAGCACUCUCACAAAAGUUCAGAAACUAUCUCUAGGGAAAAUUCGCAGCAGUAUUUGCACCCACUAACCUGCUGAAGAAGAAAAUGUGGGACUUGAACUCUUUUGGAGCCAUCUGCCAAACGUUUGCAAGGUAAAUGAUUUUCAGGUGAAGCAAACUCAUUAAGAACCUGCAAGAAGUAAUGGAAAUCCAAAAGCAGCUAAGCACUGAUUUUAAGUUAAUACCAGAAGUAAAGUCUUAAUUAGAGAAAAAAAAAGNAAAAAAAAAAAAAAAAAAAAAAAAAAAAAAAACAUAGACUGAAUAAAGAUGAGAGGAAUCAGAGAUACAUCUCUAGACUUUGUUAUUCUGAUUAUCUCCUCGAAGCAAAUGAAUACAUCAUUAAGAAAAGCAUAUGCUGUUAUAAGCACAAGUGAUGUAUCGACAAGUCUCAGCACCAUGCAAGUCGGGCCUAAGUAAAAACUACCUGGUUUCUGAUUGCUCCGAUUAACAUAUCUUGGCACCCAGAAGCAUAAACAUUUUUCAAAUCCGAGCACUGGAGCAGCAACCUUUCUGCAAAUUUUUUUGAAAUAUUAUGAGUUAUUAUUCAGCUUUAUCAUAUUUUGACCUCAGUGAGAAUGUGAUUACUAACCUGGAUGUAGAUUCGUACAUGAAUUUAGAUUGAGAUCAUUAAGCUCUGGACAAUUCAAGUACAAGGCCUGCGAUGGGUAGGAAAGAAAAUCAGUUCUGUAAUAAAUAAAGAGUUCUAUUGUAAGGGAAGCAGCAUAGCUUUCAUUUGUAUUAUGACUCACAUCUAAACCCGAGCAACCCCAUAAACUGAGCUUCUUCAAAUGUGCAUGCUUUAUAAUCAACUUCUGGUAAAUAGGCUGUGGUCUCACGGUCGACAAUUUUUGGCACCAUUUAACCUCUCCAUGUUCUUCGCUAGUAUGUGAUUUGUCUUCUGCGGAUUGAGAAUUAACAACACAUAUGCUCAUUCCACAGUCUAUAAGUUGAAGAAGUGGAAGUUGAGCUGUAGCGAAUUGAAUCCCACCUAGAAAAAAUUUUAAGUGGUGAUAAAGUUAGGCAGUGUAUUCAGAAGCAAAGAUAGAUAGAUUGGGCCUUUCAUUGGCCUUUUUUAAAAUUAUAUUACUUCAGAACAAGAAAACAAGCAAAAACAGCCAGGAAUUUGAUGCUCACUUGAAGUAAUGUUAGGACAAAGAGCAAGGAGAAGUCUUGAUAGAGUUUGAGGGAACCCAUUGCAUAUCAUUCCAAUCCCACUAUCACUUAUGCUUGAUCUGGAGUCGCAAGAAAUUCAUAAAGUGAACUUCAAGUGGCAUUUUAGGAGUCAAUUUUUUUGUGGAAAUAAUGAUCUAGCAGUUCUUUUAAAAAAAAGACAUACCCACUCAAAUCAAGCAACUCUAGGAUUGCAAAGGAUGAAACUAUAGCUGCUACAGAUGCAUCAGUGAUCCCAGAUCCCAGAACUAAAGAUAGCAUGCGUAAUCCCCUGAUUAAGCAAAUAUUUUUGUUAAAACCUUGCAGAAAUACUUUAGAUUGCACAUUGCAAUGUCAUAUGAAUUAUUUACUCCUAAAGGAAAGCACAAAUUUAGUACCUCAAGUUAGCACUUGUUAGAGCAAUAACAGCUUCAUUACAGAGCCGAAUAGAUGCAAUAUGAAUGUUUCUCAAUCUCGGACAGGUGCGGCCCAGGCUGUCCAUCAUGAUAACAAGGUCGGUAGAAUCAUUUUCUUGUCGUGCAAAAUCAAGAGAAAUCUCUUUCAGAUUUGGACAGUUGAUAACCUAUAUAUGAAGCUCAAUCAUGAGAAUGCAGGAAGGAAAAAAGUAAAUUUCUGCGGCCAUUAGAUGAUGGAAAAUGUGGAGAGAAGAGAAUAUACUGAUUUUGAGAGGCAAUAGAGAUCUGACAACCAGAUAGUGGACAGGCUUGACGAGGACAAGUUUAAGAAACCAAGAUUCGUGCACCCUUCCAAUUUGAUCAUCGAAAGAGAGCGCUUAUCAGAAACAAACCGGCAUAGUUCAUCACUGCAAGAUAACCCAUUAAAAUGAAAGAUUAAUUUUUAAUUAGGCACUUGUGCUACUAAUGCUACAUAUGACCUUCAAAAACAAGAUCAAUAUUGUUUCAAGCAUCAUUAUGUCAAACAACAUCAAUAUUUUAAUUUGGAUUACUUCAAACUUCUUGGAGAUAAUUGCCAGAAAAAAGCAAAGACUCAAACUUAAGACCUGCGAUAAGAUUACUUUCAUGUAUCAUUAAUAUUUCCCGCAAGCCUCUUAUAUGAAACAGGAAACAAGAUAGAGCCAUCAGAAUAGAUCCAAAUAACAACAUUAUAUUCACUAUUAACAUUUAAUCUCAAAUGAGUAAUUAAAAAAACAAAGAAGAUCAAAUAAGGUUAGAAGGAAUGGGCAUACCCAGUCAACCUAUUGACUGCAUUGUCGCCUAAGCUGAUCUCAAAGGCUUUUAAACUAGGGCAAGAGAAUGCAACACAAGCCAGCAAUGUAGCAUCAACAUCACUGCAAAAAAAAGGAAGAGAGGAAAGAUAUGUUAGAUCAAAUUUUUCUGAAUUCUAUUGAAACUCAAAGAUCCAGAUCCACUCUUUAAUUCACUUUCAUGAGAAUAAAAAUGCAUAUUUGAAAUGAUUAAGAUAUUUUACAAUGUUCCAUUCACCUUUCCUUAAUCAGAUUAGCUAAGGAAGCAAAAUCUAGUUAGAUCAACUUCACUGUAGUACAUAUUGCCUAAACAAAAAGGAAAAAAGAAUUAUCUUUGUUAAAAAUAAGAAAAUUAUUUGUGAAAAGGGAGUAAAAACAAAAUAAAAAAAAAUUGAUCAAAUUUCCAAAAUGAAAACGUGAGAACACAUAGCAGAUCUACCAUCUCAUGGAUGAUCUCACUUCUGCGGCCAAUUUUUAACAAUUAAAAAACCAAAAAAUAGAAAAGUACCAGCAAUGAAAAACUCAAAAGAAUGAGAUUAGAAAAAGGGGAUUAAAAAACUAAGGAUGAAAUAGUGAAGAUGAUAUGUAACGCAUCAUCAGAAGCCUGGAAAAAGUAAAUAAAAUGACCAGAUCUAACAAUUUUCAAGUAUAAAAAACCAAUUAAAAUGGAUAAUCAAAGUAAAAGACCAUCAAAAGGCCUAUUGAUCUGAAGACCCUCGAUGCCUUAAAUUACAAAAUACCAAAACUUCAGAUCCAAAUCAAAUACAUGAAACUAAAAGAGAAAAAGAUCAAAAUCCACCAAUUUCUCAGCAUCAACAUCAACUUUCACCUUCAUAUUAUCUUGUAAUACUUGAUCGACCAAUAAAUCGGUACUGAAAAUUUCAAAGGCUUAGGUUUUAUAUUUGAUCUCCAUUUUAUCACAUAUAGGUCGACAAUUACUUCUCCAAAAUGCAUUGUUUCAAUCCAUCAACAAAACUUCUUCCAAAAGCACUCACGAGUUCAGAACCAACACCAUAAGAUGAGGAGCAUGAGCUCUUCCCGUAAUUGGGCCACUAAUUUACACCUCAGUGCCAUAUUUUAGUACAAUUUGCGUAAAAAUUCCAUCUUUAUCAUAGUUUUUUAUUCAUUUCCGCUUAUUUUUUUAGUUCGUAAAUGGCAUCCUCCUUCCGAUCAAGGAAACGCCCUAACCUUUCCAUCCUCAAAGUGAGCCGGGCCAACGCGGCACACUUAUGCAGCACCGAUCCGACGAACCCGAUCUGUGACCUCGGCGAAACCCUAACCCUAAGUUCCUCCGCCGACCUCCACACCCUCCGCACGCACUCUCUCCACCCCCUGCACACCGCCGCCGCCCCCAUCAGCUCCUUCGGCGAGAGCCGCCGCAGCACCUCCGCCAUGCACGACACCGGGAGGACCACCGCGCCGCCCAUCACCACCACCGCCUCCUCCCGCCCCUCCUCCUCGUCCUCCGGCCCCACCACCGACUCCGGCGGCGCCGCCACCUCCUCCGGCGUCGGCGCGGCGGAGAUCCGGUCGUCGUCGAAGGAGAGGGCGCGGCGGAGGCGGGAGUCGGAGCGCGGGGGGAGGGCGGGGCCGUCGGCGGCGGAGCACACGUGGCCCUUCUUGGGGAGCCCACAGCGGCCGCAGUUGUAGUUCCCGCGCUUCUUCUGCGGCUGGCGCUUCGCCGCAGCGGUGGCAUCCUCGGCGAUCAUGGUGCCGAAGCUAGGGUUAGGGUUAGGGUUAGGGUUAGGGUUUGCUCGCGGAGAGAGAGAGAGAGAAAUGGUGGAUAUUGCGGAGGGUUAGAAAUAAGAAGCGGGAAGCGAGAUGGAGGCGGGGAAGGGGAGUGUCGGAAAAAGACGCGGGAGAUUAGACUUCGUUUCGCGCCUUCCUAUUUCACGUGCUCAGUUGGAAAUCACUUCCCUGAACCCCGUUCACCUUUACACCUCCUACGCCGCCCUUCAUCAGCCUCUUAAACUGUUAAGAUUACGGUGUAUGAUGAAACGAACGGCCGACGAUGAACGGUGCACGAAUCGUACGGAUAAACCGUGGUCAGGGAAAUAAUUUGUACGGUAAAGAACGAGCGUGCUGUGAAAUUACUGAAUUGCCCUUCACUUUUUCGAUGUACAGGGGUAGGGGUCCCACCUCGCCUGAGCUUUUGCAUGUGCGACUACGCGUGCCGCUCAUGAGUACAUCCCUCGAAAUUUAUUUCAAUUUUUAAAAAAUUCUAAUUUUGUUACUUAAUUUUCUUAUUCAUAUCUUCUUUUUGUAAUUUGACAGUGUUUAUAAUAAAUAAUAAAAUCUUCUAUUACUAAUCAAAAAGUUAUAUAUCCUAAUCAGAAUUUAAAAUUUUGUUUUAAACAGUUUGACUGAAUAUUUUAUAGCUUGAUUAAAUUUUCUAUAAUUUCUAUAGUCUCUUUAAGAUAUAAUUUACUUCUAAAUUAUCCAAUCCUUUAUGAGAUAUUUUGAACUAAAAAAUAAUGCAAAGUUAGGUGGUAAAAUCAAGGAGCAUAAAGUGUAGUCACAUUUUAAAUGCAAAUACAAUUUCCUAUAAAUUUUUACCUUGAGGUUGGUGUUAGGUUAAUUGGGCCAUCAUUCUGUUCUUUGGAUUAAAAUUAAACUACAUCAAGUGAUGUUUGAAAAGGAAGGAGACUGGUUGGACAGAAUUACAAUUCAAAUCCGCGAGUAUUGUGUCAGUAUCUUUCAAGUGAAUUCGUUAUAUUGUUCUAACGGCACGAGUUUUUAAAAUUAAUAAUCAACGCCAACGAUCCGACAGUUAGAACAUUACAUGUUUUACAUUUAAUCAUUUUCGAUGUUCUAAGGACUAUGUCUACUUUAGCUAACCCUGCUAAUACGUCGGCUUGUAUUAAGGGCCCAUUUGAAAAUGAGUGCUGCUCAACGCAAGGGAGCCAAAAGAAAUUGCAGAGAAAGUACAGUCCUAUAUUUCUUCAGUGAGUUAUAGAAAAUAUAUCUUAGCGAUAAAAGUGCAUUAUGUAGAACACGCUAUUCAAUAUGAAAAAAUAUAUAUAUAUUUACCGGUCAUAUUUUUUUACUACAUACAAAGCACGCUUGCGCAAUGUAUUUGAAUAGAACCUAAGGUUUUCAAUGAGUUGUGGUUAGCUUAAGCCCAAGUUGUUACUCUGGUUUCAUGGCUCAAAAUGUGUAACCACAUUCUUUCUACCCACGCAUUCUUGUGUUUGAUUGGAGAGUUUUGUUCAAAUGGAAGAUCAUUCCUCUAGUGCCUUCAGAUGUAAGAAACGAAUGUUAAGUUGUACUCAGCUCUGCGACAAGGAUUGACUUGUUUGCGAUCCAUCAUACAAAGCGGAGUUCUUGCUAUUUGACAUCUUAGCACGCUAAACCAUCAAGCUUACGAAAUAGGCACUUAGGGUUCAGCCUUCCUCGAUUGCUUCAGAACUAUCCGAUCAUACAAAGCGGAGUUCUUGCUAUUUGACAUCUUAGCACGCUAAACCAUCAAGCUUACGAAAUAGGCACUUAGGGUUCAGCCUUCCUCGAUUGCUUCAGAACUAUCCGAUCAUACAAAGCGGAGUUCUUGCUAUUUGACAUCUUAGCAUGCUAAACCAUCAAGCUUACGAAAUAGGCACUUAGGGUUCAGCCUUCCUCGAUUGUUUCAGAACUAUCCGAUUAUAUCCUGAACCAUAUUGCUCUCGCCAUAGAUCGAAAAGUUUUUUUUGAAAGAUAGGUAGCACGCUACCCGCUUUGUUUAUUUCAAAUAGAAAUAAACUUAGCUGAAAUUGUGAAUCAACUAGGAUUCGAACUUGGGACCUCAAGUAUCAACCAUCAGGCCCUUUGCCACUUUCUCUAGGAAUGGUCAGUGCCAUAGAUCAAAAAGUUAGUUGGAAACUUAAAAUGAAAUGAUUCUAAACAAGAAGAGACAUAGCAUAUAAAGCGCAGAUUUCCUAACUACGGAGGGAAACAGAGAUAGAACAUUUCAGAUAAGUUGAAAUAUGAGACGGACAUGAAGGUUUUUUUGGUUCCUUUACGGGCAUCUGUCCCAAACAAAAAAAUUCGUGUUCGUAUCUUGUCAAGUAACUUAACGUACUUCUUUAUUUGCCACGACAUUUGCAUUUGUUACUUCACACGUAUGAACUAAAUAGACUCUGGGAUAGGUUGAUAAUAAUGUGACAAGAUUCAAUAGAUCUAAUCCAUUACUACGUUAAUAUCACUUCACAUGAUAUAUAUAUAUAUAUAUAUAUAUAUAUAUAUAUAUAAAUAUAGAGUCUGGCUGGGAUACUAUCGAUAGCAUCAAGAAUUUAGUGCUAUCGAGUUUCCACUGUCAGAUUUAAUCAUUUAAUUAUUUUUAUCCGUUAGNUGUAUUUGUUCAACUCAAUUCGAGUUCAAAAGUUCCCCAAGGCCAGGGACAUAGAUCGAACCCAAACCCGAGUUGUACGCACCAAAGUCGACUCAACUCGGGUCACCGAACCCAAACCCGAUCCAACGGAACCACAACACGAUCGAUUCGCACGCGCCUCGUACACACUACCCCGUCGUAAACAAAACCCUAGACCCCGAACCCAACGGCGCCACACGCAAACACAAAACCCUUCUCUGCCUCCGCAGCCCCCAUUCGCUCCGCCGCCGCCUCCGCAGCCCCCAAUCUCUCCUCCGCCGCCUCCGCCGCCGCGGAUUCCUCACGGAGGUGGAGUUCCCGUGCCCCAAGUUUUUGAUCCGAGCCACUUCUCUCGUAAGUGUCGAAAUCGUCUCUUCCGAUCGAUUCAUGAUUGUUAGGUUUAAUUUUUCUUAUUUGGGACUGUUUAGAUGUAAAGGUGUUUCUUUUCCUCUUAAUUUGUGGGUUUUUGGAUGAAAAUUGGUGUCUUGGGUAUUCAUUCGUGCGUGCACACCACCUGUUUGAUGAAAAGUCGACUCUUUUACUGGAGAGUUUUUAGUUUUAGGCAUUCAAUUAUUUGGUCAUAAUUCUUGUUUUGAUUUGUUUUCUUCAGCUAGUUGCGAUUUUUCCCCCCUACAAGAUGAGCUUAAUCUCUCAAAACGCUCUUCUUAAACGCCGGAAAGAGAAGCCCUACGAAGAGAAUGAAAAAGAGGUUGACAAAUCUCCGAUUACCCAAUCCGAUGACGAAACGGAGUUUGCAGAUGAACUCAGAUCCUCAAAAUCAAAGAAGAAGAAGAAGAGAAGCGGAGAUCGCGAUGAGCCGUUGAAGAUGAAGCUGUCGAAGAUGGAGCAGGAGGCAGAGAUGAAGAGGCUCGAGAGCUUACUGUUCGGUACGCUUUAUUCACCGUUGGAGUUCGGCAAUGAAACAAACGGAGAAGCGAAAAAGGAAGCGGGCCGGCCCGAUUCGUCUUUGUUCUUCAUGGACAAGUCGACGGGCAAUGACAUGGUGGUCUAUGAAGAGGAGUCGUAUCCUCAAGGAAGAAGCGAAGAAGAGGUAAAGGAAGAGAGAAAACCUGUGUGGGUUGAUGAUGAAGAGGAGAGAACCACAGUCGAUAUAAUUAGGGUUAAUAGGCUGAGAAAAUUAAGAAAGGAAGCCGAUGAGCGAAUUAUCUCUGGCACGGAAUAUGUCUCUAGAUUGAGGGCCCAGCAUGCUAAGCUUAACCCAUGGACUGAUUGGGCACAAAUCGGCCGAAAAUCUCACGCCGAUGAUGAGUCCGAUGAAGAAAGUGGAAUCACAAUUGCUCGUGGAUAUGAGGGUGUCGAGGGCGAUGAUGUACUUAGAAGCAAUGAGGAGCUUGUUGUGAAAGAUAGUGUUAGGCUCUUGCCCGGUAUGUUAGAGUAUUCUAGGCUUGUAGAUGCGAAUGCCGAGGAGCCAUCGAAUGGUCCCAUUAACUCGGUCCAGUUUCAUAGAAACGGGCAGUUGCUUCUAACUGCUGGGUUGGAUCGGCGGCUGAGAUUCUUCCAGAUCGAUGGGAAGCAGAACACCAAAAUACAGAGUAUAUUUGUCGAAGAUUGUCCGGUUCAUAAAGCUUCGUUCUUGCCAGACGGAUCCGAGGUGAUACUCGCGGGAAGAAGGAAGUUCUUUUACAGCUUUGAUUUGGUUAAAGCCGCAGUUAGUAAAAUAGGGCCUUUGACAGGGAGAGAGGAGAAAAGCUUGGAAGAAUUUGAGAUUUCUCCUGACUCGAGCACAAUCGCAUUCGUUGGUAACGAGGGUUACAUUCUUCUGAUUUCGUCAAAAACAAAGGAGCUGAUUGGGACUUUGAAGAUGAACGGAAGUGCUCGUUCUUUGGCUUUUGUUAGUGGUGGGAAGGAGCUAGUAAGCAGCGGCGGCGAUGGGCAUGUUUAUCACUGGGAUCUGAGGACAAGGAAGUGCAUUCAUAAAGGCAUUGAUGAAGGUUCCAUCGCAGGCACAGCUCUUUGUGCUUCUCCGGAUAGCUCUUUAUUUGCUGCUGGUUCGAGCAGCGGAGUCGUGAAUGUAUACAAAAGGGAGGAGUUUCUCGGUGGGAAGAGAAAGCCGCUGAAGACAAUAGAGAAUCUGACUACUGUGGUCGAUGAAAUGAAGUUCAAUCACGAUGCUCAGAUUCUGGCCAUUUGUUCGAGAAUGAAGAAGAACGGCCUAAAGCUAGUCCAUGUUCCGUCAUUUAAUGUCUUCUCAAACUGGCCCGGGGCUCGGCUUAGUCUGCAACACCCGCGCUGUUUGGAUUUCAGCCCGGGCGGCGGUUUCAUGACCGUGGGAACCGCAGCUGGGAAGGUUUUGUUGUACAAGUUGCAUCACUAUCGGAAUGCUUGAACUGUGAAUUAACGGAAACGAUCAGUUCUGCAACUACUACUGUGAUUCAUUCUGUCAAUUUUGUUCUAUUUUAUUUCGGAGUUCAAUGGUUUCACUGUACUGAUAAUAGCAUGAGUUUUGAGUAAGCUGUUACAAAGAGACUGAUUAGCGAGUAGCAUUAUUUUGGCUCAAUGUUUUAAGCUGUGUUACUCUUGCUUGUAGUUGAUGUAUUAUCUACUGUGUUGUCCUCCACCUUCAUCUGAACCAUGACAAAUUCAAUUGUUGAUUUGCAUGCAACUCCUACACUCUUCUCAUUCUAGUAAGUUUUUUAACAAAUUCAGGUCAGAUCAAUCAUAACCAAAUAGAACCAUGGUUUAGCUCAGUAUUGAAAUUUAGUUCAGGAACUUUCCACCGUAUUAUGCUUAUGCAUCUAAGUUUGCUAUCUUAUUUUUGACUAUCAAUGCAAUAGCUGAGCGCUUAAUGUCAUUGCAGAGCAUCUUUUGGUUACUUGGUUGACAAUUUGGUACCUGAUCCAAAUCUUUCACUUCAAACUUUUUAGUCUAAAACACACCUAAACAAUUGCAUAUCUCAUAGGCUGAUAUAUUAUCAUCAUAAUUUCCUACUGAAAAAAAGCCCGGUCUCAUCGGCAAACUAAAACUUUAGAACAGUAAAGAACAAUCACAAUAGUAACCAUAAAAUAGCUAAUAAAUUAUGCUUAAAGCAGUCAACAAGAAGCAACAACAUUCUUAAAUUUUCAUCACAGAUGUUCUACAUACAUAAUUCAAAAAGAGAGAGAGAGAGAGAGAGAGAGAGAGAGAGAGGGUCUCUUUGAUUCUUGUGUGUUUUUUCAGAGUGAGAGCCCACCAGAUUCCUCAUCCUCUUCAAGGGUGGAGGUGUACACAAAGUAGAGGGCCCAGAUGACCCCAAACACACCAAGAAGGAUCCACCCCAGCAGGUUGUUGCUGAUCCCGAGGCUCAGCCCGGUCCCCUCUGUGGUCAGCCGCUCGUCGACCAGCGCCAGGGCCGGUCCCGCCGCAGUCACCGCCACCC